rnacentral:rRNA from 1 species
GACGAACGCUGGCGGCGUGCUUAACACAUGCAAGUCGAGCGGAAAGGCCCUGCUUUUGUGGGGUGCUCGAGUGGCGAACGGGUGUGUAACAUGUGAGUAACCUGCCCUUUACUGUGGGAUAACUUCAGGCGACUGGGGCUAAUACCGGAGUGCAGCGCCUGCUGCAUGGGGGGGGUUGGAAAGUUUCGGCGGAUGGGGAUGGACUCGCGGCUUAUCAGCUUGUUGGGGGGGGAGUGGCUUACCAAGGCGUUGACAGCUGGCCGGCCUGAGAGGGUGACCGGCCACAUGGGGACUGCGAUACGGCCCAGACGCGUACGGGAGGCAGCAGUGGGGAAUAUUGCACAAUGGGCGGAAGCCUGAUGCAGCAACGCCGCGUGCGGGAUGACGGCCUUCGUGUUGUAAACCGCUUUCGCCUGUGACGAAGCGUGAGUGACGGUAAUGGGUAAAGAAGCACCGGCUAACUACGUG